rnacentral:rRNA from 1 species
GAUGAACGCUGGCGGCGUGCUUAACACAUGCAAGUCGAACGGAAAGGCCACAGCUUGCUGUGGUACUCGAGUGGCGAACGGGUGAGUAACACGUGGGUGAUCUGCCCUGUACUUCGGGAUAAGCUUGGGAAACUGGGUCUAAUACCGGAUAGGAAUCACAUGUGGGUGUGUGGUUGGAAAGCUUUUGCGGUAUGGGAUGAGCUCGCGGCCUAUCAGCUUGUUGGUGGGGUAAUGGCCUACCAAGGCGUCGACGGGUAGCCGGCCUGAGAGGGUGUACGGCCACAUUGGGGCUGAGAUACGGCCCAGACUCCUACGGGAGGCAGCAGUGGGGAAUAUUGCACAAUGGGCGCAAGCCUGAUGCAGCGACGCCGCGUGGGGGAUGACGGCCUUCGGGUUGUAAACUCCUUUCGUCAGGGACGAAGCGAAAGUGACGGUACCUGGAUAAGAAGCACCGGCUAACUACGUG